AGGGGUUAACAUGAUUUACAAUCG
rnacentral:siRNA from 1 species